UUCAACUGUUCCUACACACAGCCCUUAACAAAUAGUGUAACGCAGAAUAACCAUUAGUUACCUCCCCUACAUCAUCUCUAUGUUCAAUUCGAUGGUCAUCCUUCUUAUAAGCCAAUCACUUAAGCGACUUCUUGGCCCCUUCUAGCAUCUUUACAUUGUUUACAAUAUGAACACAAUAAGUAACGGUUGCCCGACGGCCAGCCUUUUGUUUCGGAAUACCAACUGACCAAUGGUAUCCUCCAACAGUCCGGUCUAGUCCUACUCCAGACCAGCUGUCAUUUCAGAGAGGAUUAUUAUUCGUGAAAAAGGAACAAAAAUUUUUGAAAUUUCCCAAAAUAUACAUUCAGAAAGGAUUUUUCAGCGAAGACCUCCUUCUUGUGUUACUUCUGCACCCAACUGCAACAGAAAUGCCAACCACAAACACUUGCAGCAGCAGCCACACCCCUAUCCUACAAACACAUCGGAUAACAGACAUUGAAACUAUGAUGAUGAUGAUGAUGGUGGUGACGAUAAAGAUACAUUCAGGAACACACACACACACAUGUGUGUGUGUGUGUGUUUAUAUAUAUAUAUAUAUAUGCAUACUUAUGUGCAUUAAUGCAAAUAUGCAUAUG